AGAGUUUGAUCAUGGCUCAGAUUGAACGCUGGCGGCAGGCCUAACACAUGCAAGUCGAGCGGUAGCACAGAGAGCUUGCUCUCGGGUGACGAGCGGCGGACGGGUGAGUAAUGUCUGGGAAACUGCCUGAUGGAGGGGGAUAACUACUGGAAACGGUAGCUAAUACCGCAUAACGUCGCAAGGACCAAAAGUGGGGGACCUUCGGGCCUCAUGCCAUCAGAUGUGCCCAGAUGGGAUUAGCUAGUAGGUGGGGUAACGGCUCACCUAGGCGACGAUCCCUAGCUGGUCUGAGAGGAUGACCAGCCACACUGGAACUGAGACACGGUCCAGACUCCUACGGGAGGCAGCAGUGGGGAAUAUUGCACAAUGGGCGCAAGCCUGAUGCAGCCAUGCCGCGUGUGUGAAGAAGGCCUUCGGGUUGUAAAGCACUUUCAGCGGGGAGGAAGGCGUUAAGGUUAAUAACCUUGGCGAUUGACGUUACCCGCAGAAGAAGCACCGGCUAACUCCGUGCCAGCAGCCGCGGUAAUACGGAGGGUGCAAGCGUUAAUCGGAAUUACUGGGCGUAAAGCGCACGCAGGCGGUCUGUCAAGUCGGAUGUGAAAUCCCCGGGCUCAACCUGGGAACUGCAUUCGAAACUGGCAGGCUAGAGUCUUGUAGAGGGGGGUAGAAUUCCAGGUGUAGCGGUGAAAUGCGUAGAGAUCUGGAGGAAUACCGGUGGCGAAGGCGGCCCCCUGGACAAAGACUGACGCUCAGGUGCGAAAGCGUGGGGAGCAAACAGGAUUAGAUACCCUGGUAGUCCACGCCGUAAACGAUGUCGAUUUGGAGGUUGUGCCCUUGAGGCGUGGCUUCCGGAGCUAACGCGUUAAAUCGACCGCCUGGGGAGUACGGCCGCAAGGUUAAAACUCAAAUGAAUUGACGGGGGCCCGCACAAGCGGUGGAGCAUGUGGUUUAAUUCGAUGCAACGCGAAGAACCUUACCUGGUCUUGACAUCCACAGAACUUUCCAGAGAUGGAUUGGUGCCUUCGGGAACUGUGAGACAGGUGCUGCAUGGCUGUCGUCAGCUCGUGUUGUGAAAUGUUGGGUUAAGUCCCGCAACGAGCGCAACCCUUAUCCUUUGUUGCCAGCGGUCCGGCCGGGAACUCAAAGGAGACUGCCAGUGAUAAACUGGAGGAAGGUGGGGAUGACGUCAAGUCAUCAUGGCCCUUACGACCAGGGCUACACACGUGCUACAAUGGCAUAUACAAAGAGAAGCGACCUCGCGAGAGCAAGCGGACCUCAUAAAGUAUGUCGUAGUCCGGAUUGGAGUCUGCAACUCGACUCCAUGAAGUCGGAAUCGCUAGUAAUCGUAGAUCAGAAUGCUACGGUGAAUACGUUCCCGGGCCUUGUACACACCGCCCGUCACACCAUGGGAGUGGGUUGCAAAAGAAGUAGGUAGCUUAACCUUCGGGAGGGCGCUUACCACUUUGUGAUUCAUGACUGGGGUGAAGUCGUAACAAGGUAACCGUAGGGGAACCUGCGGUUGGAUCACCU
rnacentral:rRNA from 1 species